UGUACAUGCCAAGCGAGUGUC
rnacentral:siRNA from 1 species